CACACAUGGUGUAAACACUACUUUCUGACUUGCAGCACUUUCUCAGUGCUUUCUCAACUCCAGAAGCUCCACCGAGAUCUGAAGUUGGAAGCGAAAGGGAUGAUGAAGUUCUGUGUUACACAAGAGAUAAACAUCGGGCUAGGGAGGAUGCUAAGUAUUUCUACCUCCCUUCCCUCGCAUUUUCAUGGUGUUCCUCGCAGACUGCCAGCCCCCCAGGACCAGGCUGACAGUGCUGGUAAAUAAAGAGGUACUGCAUAGGGUUGGCCAAAGUUUUCCAGUCCCAAGACUUCUUCACCCUACAUGCUAGAGGGCUAAUGAUAAGGUCUGCAGCACUAGAGGUAGCUUUCUCCUGAUCACUUCUGACCAUCCCUAGUCAUCUCUUGGACACCCCUGACCAUUUCUUUAUGCUGUGAUAUGAAUAUAGAAAAUCCAGGGGGCAUGCACCCACGCUCGGCGGCAGCUUUGAACAGUUCUCAUGGAAUAUUCUGUAUUACUGUUUCCUUUUUACUUUGAAACUGAAGAGUCUGGGUGCUGGCAGCACCAGUUUUGGCAUGGCCCUUGAAGCCAUGCUGUCUGGUAGAUGAGACUGAACCUCUGAUCUGGUGGGAGGAGAUGACUCUGCAGGAAAUACCCUACAGCUCCAGGGUAACAAAACUGAGUGGAAACAAUGAAGGCAUGUCUAUGCAGAGGAAAGGAAUGCGAUGAAGACAUUCUCUGCCUUCGCCUCAAACAUGUUGGUUUCUUUGUAUGAAGUAGAGAAGUUUUGGGGCCUGAGCUGGCUGCAGUGGUGUGGCAUCAGAGUGGGGCUGAGACAGCUGUGGGGUUCCACCUGCUUACAGUGUUGUGUACCAAGGGACAUACAGUGCUCUUGUUCCAUAGCGUGGAUGGGCAUGGCUUUAUCACUCCCUUCCCCCGUUGUGAAUUUCCACUUGCUCCCCCUCCAUUUACUCCUAGCUGAAUUGUUGGGCAGAAAACACUCAGGUGAAAAAAUUAUUGCUGCAAAGACAUAAUAAAGAACUUUAGAGGAUGCUCUAUGUGACUGCUGUCUCUCUCACAUAAUUUUUUGUAAGUCGGGCUUUUAUGAAGCGUUGAAUUUAAAAAUAAAUCAUGUUUUAAAAAAAAACUCAAGCAAUCUCUUAAAAAUUUUGAAACUGAAUUACGAAGUAGAAAAUAAAAGGCAAGAUAAAGAACUGGAACAGUAGGUUUGUUCUCUGCAAGCUCAGGCUCUUGUAUUAAUGCACUGCGUAAUUGUGAAGAAAAUGGCUUUCAGUCUUUGCCUGUGUGUUA
ensembl:lncRNA